ensembl:lncRNA
CUUGCGUAACGAUGGGUGCUGUCCUAGAUCAAUGGAAAGCACACUUGGAGAUGGGGUCCAUUCAUUAUGUGAACGGGCCUGUGCUCCGUAGCGUCGUGGUGUUUCUGCUGUUGGGUGUCUCCUACAGUAAGCGCAGGUGCAACUACACGGAUAUACUCAGCACGUACAGAGAACUAAUCUUCGUUGAACUUCAGAAUUUGAAUCUGACAGGCACUUUUGACACACCCAAAGAGAGGGACCAUUGUCCCUCAGGAAAGCUGCAGCACGUGUUGCGCUCCAUCCAUGGUAUGACGGAGCAAUUCCUGUGUCAGGGCUGGGAUCAGGAACACGGGCGGGGCAGCAGAGAGCAGUGGGCCAUGAAGAAGCCAGUGGAGAUGAUGGCAGUGCUGAUCAGACAGAACUGCAGGCACACUGACCUGGUGAGGAAACAGAAGAGAACAGCGCUGUGUGUGACUGCCCAGAGGACGAAGGGAAAGAACAGGAAGAGGAUGAGACUCAUCAGGGCACUGAUAAACUGUUGGCAGAAGCUGCAGAGUUUGUACACACCCACAAAAUAAUUUGAAAAAAAUAUGUUUUUAUUUUUUAUCAAAAUUGUUUCAAAAAAGCUUAUUUUGUAGAGUAGAAUGACAGUUUGUAUGUCAGGCAUAGGCCUCUGUUUAUGACCUUUUACUUCUUGUCUGUACAGUCCCACAUGUAUAAGCUAUAGGUCACCAUAGAUCAGGGAUGGGCCACUUUGAUGUGGGCGGGGGCCACAAAAAAAACGAACUGAUCAUGCUUACUAUAAGUUUAGAUAACUAGCCGCUAGACUAACUUGCCAAUCUAAAAAGGUUUACCUGACUUGGGCUAAUUAAGUGACUGCUGAUGCACAACCAACCACAUGUUGAAAUUGCACCUUGUGUAAUCUAUUAUUCUAACUCUCAACAGUAAAUUGAGACCCGACUGAGUUCCCCCCAUUAAUUAUGGUUGUUAGAGGAUGGUUUUACAAUGCAGUGAAGAUAUUUACUUGUAAUACCUUGGUGCACACACAUUUUAUAACUCUUAGCUAUCUCACAAUCCAGAUAUUGUUUUUGUGAAACCGAUAGAUACAGUUGUUGUUCUAUGAAAUGUAUUUAAGAUGCCCACUGAUAAAGGUUUCUUAAACUGCAUCAUUGGUUGUUUAUUCCUGUAAUGAUCGAAACAUGGGC